rnacentral:misc_RNA from 1 species
ACAGAUGGCACGGUCAGGA